rnacentral:rRNA from 1 species
UACGGGGGGUGCAAGCGUUAAUCGGAAUUACUGGGCGUAAAGCGCGCGUAGGUGGUUCGUUAAGUUGGAUGUGAAAUCCCCGGGCUCAACCUGGGAACUGCAUUCAAAACUGACGAGCUAGAGUAUGGUAGAGGGUGGUGGAAUUUCCUGUGUAGCGGUGAAAUGCGUAGAUAUAGGAAGGAACACCAGUGGCGGAGGCGACCACCUGGACUGAUACUGACACUGAGGUGCGAAAGCGUGGGGAGCAAACAGG